rfam:Lepisosteus oculatus linkage group LG11, whole genome shotgun sequence.
AUUGGCAGAAAUAUUACCACCUUGUAGCCUGAUCUUGUUAGGUCUCAGAAGCUAAGUAAGGCUGGGGCUGGCCAGAUCUGGGUUAGGAGACCUCCAGAGAAAUUCAGGUUGCUGCUAAAA